GUUUAUGAUUCAGGAUCUUGCCUAGUUUUACCACUAAAUCAAAAUCUCAUUGGCAUAAGUAUAUAAAAUCCAUAGCAUAUGUAAAAUAGGCAAGCUCCAAUGCAGUUAUAGACAGAAUACAGAAAAGAAAAUUCCAAGACAACACCAAAAAGGAAAACUAGAAUUGGUAUUGGAGGUAUGUAGCCACUAGCUAACUAGUUACAAGCCUCAUUGGCAAUAGAGAAGAAUUUGGCUUGUCUGGCUGCAGCCUCCUCCGAGACCAAUGCUUGUAUAAACAGAGUCUUCACUUCCCAAGCUGCAUAUGGAAACCCCUUUCUAGCAUAAGAGUUGAGAAGGGCUGCACUCCCCUGCUUUAACAACCCAGCGAACGCAUUCUCAUCAUCGUUCCUACCCGUUGAUUCUAACAACGUCAAUCCAGAUCUGUACCGCUCAAACGUUCUCGACCCAAACACGUUCGAUACCGUCGACGUCUGUGGGACCAUCCUUGGCCAAUCCUCUCUCCUGCUGCUCCAGUACUGUGGAGUGCAUCUUCCUCUGGCUCUUGUGAAGAGAAACCCAGGUCUUGAAGCUGCUGUUCUUGUAGCUGCAAGAAAGAGAGUAACGAGCAGUAGUCGACUCAACAAAAAAGACCUCUCCAUCUAUCUUUUUAGGUUGCUUCCAAAUCUAAUCAAGCUUCCAUUUUCUUUUGCAGUUUCGAUUUGGGAUCUUGAAAUCAGUUUCUUGUAGGUUAGUAUAAAUGGUCGGAGCGGAGAGCACUUUGAAUUCCAGAUGGAUUAUGGAGGUGCUUUU
rnacentral:misc_RNA from 1 species